rnacentral:rRNA from 1 species
UACGGAGGGGGCUAGCGUUGUUCGGAAUUACUGGGCGUAAAGCGCACGUAGGCGGAUUGUUAAGUCGGGGGUGAAAUCCUGGAGCUCAACUCCAGAACUGCCUUCGAUACUGGCGAUCUCGAGUUCGGGAGAGGUGAGUGGAACUGCGAGUGUAGAGGUGAAAUUCGUAGAUAUUCGCAAGAACACCAGUGGCGAAGGCGGCUCACUGGCCCGAUACUGACGCUGAGGUGCGAAAGGCGUGGGGAGCAAACAGG